GCCGACGUGGCGCAAUUGGUAGCGCACUCGACUUGUAAUCGAGCGGUUCCCGGUUCAAGUCCGGGCGUCGGCU
rnacentral:tRNA from 1 species